ensembl:lncRNA
UCGGCAGCGGCAGCUGCAGCCACGGAGGGUCUGUGUCAUGUCUGUGCAGCGGCGGAGAGGGUGGGCUGCGAGCGCGGAGCCGAGGCGGGGCCAGCCCGCCAACACACACGCCGCUCAGUGACAGGCGGCGAGCCAGGGCCCAACCAGGAGCAGCCCCCUGCUGCAGAGCCCUCCCCCUUCUUCUCCCACAGGAGCAGCCUCGAGUCGGGAAGAAGGAAGGAAGGAAUCUCCCCAUCCACUUCGGCAAGAGACGAGAAAGCCGGCCAGGGCGGGCUCGCGGGCAAAGCGCCGGAGGCAGCGCAGUGCCGUGAGCGCCAAGAGCCUCGGAUGGCCCUCGGUCUCCCACUGCUNGGUAGGAAGCCCGGCGAAAGCCAGCGAGCGGUAGCCGAACGGAGGCGCCUGCUGGCUUCUCACGUGCGCGUCUCCUGCUUUUGGAACCUCACCGGGCUGAGGGAAUGUGAGGAACGAAGGGAGCCGUCCCUUUGGCUGGAUUUUAACAUUCUGUGUGUCUCUAUAGGCAGCGAGGGGAGAGCAGUAACAGAAAAUUAAGGAGAGAAUUACAACUUUUGGAAAGCUUUACAGUACAACAGAUACUUCAGAUAUUAAUUUAUUCCCUUGUAACAGCCACUUAAAUAGAGUGACUUCCUUUGUGGGGGGGAAGAAAUGUCUUUCACAGAAGCUUUAAAGAAAACAAAGGGCUUCAAAAACAUGUUUUGCAGCCAAAUCUACCAAGUAUCCUGAACUUCCAGAUUGUUUACUUAAGGGAAGACAGCAUUUGCCAUGCCACAUCAACCCAUUCGUCCAUCAAGUCUAAUAUCCUGCCGCCAGCAGUGCCCGGCGCUGAAUGUUUUAGAGUCAGAGUUAUAUUAGAUGAACUGAAGUAUACCAUAAAGCUCAACAUGGCAGUGAUAUUAUUUAACUGUUACGGACUGGGAUGCUUGACAUGUAAUGACACCCUGGAAAACCAUAUGAAAAAUAUCCUGGCAAAUCUACAAAAGCUACUGAGUUCUAACAAGAAAUGAUGAUUUAGAGAAACNCUGUAUGAUGUGCUGGCUUAUCUUUUUGUGAUCAAGAAGGAAGGCAGUUUGCAACCGGCCAGUUGAGUCUCCCACCUACCCCCAUCCCCAGCACACUGAACUAGUUAAAGGGAAUGGACCACAUCUUUUCUGACCAAUCUUGAUAAUUAGAAUGCAGCAAUAUUAAACACAGGUCUGAUGAGAAGGAAAUUGGCAUAUAUAGUGAAUCAAAUGAGGAAGAUAUCAAUAUUUUAUCCAAACCAUAACAAAAUGCAAGGAAAAAUUCCACAAGGUUAGUGGACAUUUUUCCAAGGCCACUUUCCUGACUGACCCCCUUUUCCAAAUACCAUAAUGAGAUCCAGUGACACAGUCAGCUACCCAGAGGGUUUCCAAAUCACACAGAGUCCCCCAAACAAAGUCUCAGCCUUUGUUCUUCUCAAUGGGACCUCAAAUGGGGGUCCUAUUGGCAGUAAGAAGUAAUGAUCUAGCUACUGAGGAGGGGCCCAUAUAGGCUAUCUGGGUAGGGGAAUCAG